AUGCAGCUGACGAGUCCCAAGUGAGACGAAACGUAUGUCCUGGAU
rnacentral:hammerhead_ribozyme from 1 species